rnacentral:rRNA from 1 species
GAUGAACGCUGGCGGCGUGCCUAAUACAUGCAAGUCGAGCGAACGGACGAGAAGCUUGCUUCUCUGAUGUUAGCGGCGGACGUGUGAGUAACACGUGGAUAACCUACCUAUAAGACUGGGAUAACUUCGGGAAACCGGAGCUAAUCCCGGAUAAUAUUUUGAACCGCAUGGUUCAAAAGUGAAAGACGGUCUUGCUGUCACUUAUAGAUGGAUCCGCGCUGCAUUAGCUAGUUGGUAAGGUAACGGCUUACCAAGGCAACGAUGCAUAGCCGACCUGAGAGGGGGAUCGGCCACACUGGAACUGAGACACGGUCCAGACUCCUACGGGAGGCAGCAGUAGGGAAUCUUCCGCAAUGGGCGAAAGCCUGACGGAGCAACGCCGCGUGAGUGAUGAAGGUCUUCGGAUCGUAAAACUCUGUUAUGAGGGAAGAACAUAUGUGUAAGUAACUGUGCACAUCUUGACGGUACCUAAUCAGAAAGCCACGGCUAACUACGUG